CGUAUUUUUAAAGAGCCGCGGUAUUUUGACCGUGCAAAGGUAGCAUAAUCAUUAGUCUCUUAAUUAGUGGCUGGAAUGAAUGGCUUGACGAGAAAUCAACUGUCUCUUAAUAAAUUUUUGAAUUUAACUUUUGAGUCAAAAGGCUUAAAUUCUUCUUUAGGACGAGAAGACCCUAUAGAGCUUGACAUUUUACUUUUAUAUAGUUUUUUGUUUGUCGUUCUAUAUUUAAUGAUGAUGUUUUGUUGGGGUGACAUGAAGAAUAGAUAAACUCUUCAUUAUUAUAUCAUUUAUUUAUGUUUGUUAUUUUGAUCCAUAAUUUAUGAUCAUAAGAUUAAGUUACCUUAGGGAUAACAGCGUAAUUGUUUUUGAGAGCUCAUAUCGACAAAGCAGAUUGCGACCUCGAUGUUGGAUUAAGAAAAAUUUUGGGUGCAGGAGCCCAAUGAUUAGGUCUGUUCGACCUUUAAAUUCUUACAUGAUCUGAGUUCAGACCGGCGUGAGCCAGGUCGGUUUCUAUCCUAAGAUUAUUAAUCCAUAUUAGUACGAAAGGACCAAAUGGUUAAAAUAUUUUUUGUUAUAUUGAUUAAAAUUAAUUUAAUUA